UACGUAGGGGGCGAGCGUUGUCCGGAAUUAUUGGGCGUAAAGGGCACGCAGGCGGUCUUCUAAGUCUGAUGUGAAAUCUCGUAGCUUAACUACGAGCGGUCAUUGGAAACUGGGAGACUUGAGUACAGAAGAGGAGAGUGGAAUUCCACGUGUAGCGGUGAAAUGCGUAGAUAUGUGGAGGAACACCAGUGGCGAAGGCGGCUCUCUGGUCUGUAACUGACGCUGAGGUGCGAAAGCGUGGGGAGCGAACAGGAUUAGAUACCCCGGUAGUCC
rnacentral:rRNA from 1 species